UACGUAGGGUGCAAGCGUUGUCCGGAAUUAUUGGGCGUAAAGAGCUUGUAGGCGGUUUGUCGCGUCUGCUGUGAAAUUUCGGGGCUCAACCCCGAACUUGCAGUGGGUACGGGCAGACUAGAGUGUGGUAGGGGAGACUGGAAUUCCUGGUGUAGCGGUGAAAUGCGCAGAUAUCAGGAGGAACACCGGUGGCGAAGGCGGGUCUCUGGGCUGAUACUGACGCUGAGGAGCGAAAGCGUGGGGAGCAAACAGG
rnacentral:rRNA from 1 species